GCACUGGUGAGGAGUCCCAAAAUAGGACGAAACGGCCGUCCAGUGC
rnacentral:hammerhead_ribozyme from 1 species